GCCGGAGGCGCUGGAGACCGCCAGGAAGGUCUUCCGGCCUGAUCUCUAUGAUGCGGCACUCGGCGCACCGAAGAAGUCCGCACGGGGGAUUCAAGACGGCGUGGGCGCGUUUGACGGCCCCUUGUUCGACGCCAAUGACGUCGCUGCGCAUCUUGCAUCGGUGACCAUCAAGCGCCGGCUCUCCUAACAACGAUUCUGCAUUCAGCACCGA
rnacentral:misc_RNA from 1 species